GGGGGAAGCUGGUGUUGAUGAAAACGAUGAAGUUCCUGACAUCUCUAAAUGAGAAUGUAUAAUAUGGCUUGUAAUUUUGACAGCUUAAGUGGAUCUCAGUCCUCUGUGAAUACCUGGUUCAAGUGACAAGAAUUAAUUUGUCGAAACCAUGACUCAAAGUUGGUUCUAUUGCAAGUGAUUGCUCAUCGUUUUUUAAGCACGGGGAUAUGUACGUACUACCUAAAGAUGAUCGAGAAGAAUAAGCAAUUCAACUGUUCUGGCGAGCAUUAAUGCUUGCAGUCUCCUGAAAGCUUGAGAAAGGCUCUUAGGGAGAUCAGUUCCAUGUGCGCCAAACAAGAGUCUUUCUCAAGCUUUACAAAGAUGAUUGAUCCAUUCAGAAACCUGCAACUGUUGAGAAAUGCUGUGGAUUUUCAAAGCAAUGGUUUGACACUUGGCUUGCAGGGUGUAAUGAAGGUCAAAGAUGAUAGAUAGUCCCCAACUUAUGUUGCUAUGCUUGCAGCCCAAGAUGCUGCAACACGGUGUAAGAAGAUGGAUAGCGUGAACGACGUUUUGGCAUAUUUUUUCGGAACCCCUUAUGGAUAUGUUGCAUGUUAUGUGGACCUGAAUGUUGGAUUUUCUGGAUUUUUACAACGGUGUACAUAGUUGUACACAACAGUGUAAAUUAGAAUUCUACAAAAAUGAAAAUUACAUAGUCACAUGGGUACUCUUUUUGUAGAUCUCGGAAAGAGCUUUCCAAAUAUAUAAAGUUUGUGAAUUUUUGACCGGAUUAUUUGUAUAUUAUUGAAAAUUGUUGACGUCAUCGUGGAUUAAAUAGACUAAAUUGUAAACAAUAAGGAUUAUUAGUGUACUUUCUCAUACUUUGAACUAAUUUGUACCUAGUUGACCCGCUGGACUAAACCGUAUUUUUAUUUUACUGUAAAAAUAAAUAUGCAUGGUGUGGGUAUUCGACCUCACAGCCUAUAACUCAUAUGCUAGGCCUUCAACCAUCUGUACCAGCUUCUGUUUGUGUUGGUGCAGUAAUAUUCGCGCAACUUAUUAUUUUGUUGACGCCCUAGCUUUAUUUGCCGCUUAUUCCUCUUUCUGGGAUAUCAUUGCCUUUGUUUCUGCUGGUUCAUCUUUGUGUUUUAGUGUUGCUGUCGAAUUGCUUGAUCAGAAACAUCAUUUUCUCACCUGUUUUGCUAUGGAAUUCUAUGUUUUUGCUGGUAAAGUUUUUGCUUAGUCCCUUGCUCAUGAUAGGUGUUUACAUCUGCUCCUGUACGUUUCAUGCUGUGAUUAAUAAUCACCCACCAAACCUGAAAAAGUUAAUUUUCUCAUGUGUAUUAUUUGCGUUGUUCGCAUGCUGAUUAAUUUUUUCGAGAUGGUUGGUCUUUAAGGAUUGUUUCGCAUAGUUGUGUUGGCUCAGUUCUCACCACGUGUUGAUUUGGUUCCGUUUUCUCCAUUGACUUUUGAUUGUUCUCGUGUAGUCUGUUCCCUUCCAUCCUCUCCUUUUAUCUUCACUCUUUGUUUGAGCUUUUUCUUUGUCCCUUUUUCUUCUUCUUUUCCUGUUUCUUAGCAUGCCCUAAAAUCUUUGUUUGUUCUGGUUGUCUUUUUCGCUUCGUCGUCACCUGUUCGUCAUUGUUUAUGCCUUGCUGGUCUUGAAUUUAUUCCUUGGAUGUUGAUAUGGCUCAUGAUUUACGAUUAAUUGCUGGGACUCUGCUCAUUACUUUUUAAUUAGCACUGUCGUCAUUGGCUUUACGUUUCUUUGAUGCGUUUUCUUCGCUUGCAGCAUAGAUCUGCUAUUCCUCUCCCUCGUCUGUAU